rnacentral:rRNA from 1 species
UACGGAGGGGGCAAGCGUUGUUCGGAUUACUGGGCGUAAAGGGCGCGUAGGCGGCUUUGUAAGUUACUUGUGAAAUCUCCGGGCUUAACUCGGAACGGCCAAGUAAUACUGCAGAGCUAGAGUGCAGAAGGGGCAACUGGAAUUCUUGGUGUAGCGGUGAAAUGCGUAGAUAUCGAGAGGAACACCUGCGGCGAAGGCGGCAUCCUGGACCGGCAUUGACGCUGAGGAGCGAAAGCCAGGGGAGCAAACGGG